rnacentral:rRNA from 1 species
GCGAACGCUGGCGGCGUGGCUAAAGCAUGCAAGUUGUGCGGGUCUGUACAUGAGGGUAACCAAUUGUACAGCUAGCGGCGAAAGGGUGAGUAACGCGUGGGUAACGUACCCUUAACUCGAGAAUAGCUGUCCGAAAGGUCAGGUAAUGCUCGAUGACGCUUCUCCGGGACAUCCUGGAGAAGCCAAAGGUGGCCUCUUCUUGAAAGCUGCCGGUUUUGGAGCGGCCCGCGUCAUAUCAGCUUGUUGGUAGGGUAAUGGCCUACCAAGGCUAAGACGUGUAGUUGGUCUGAGAGGACGACCAGCCACAUCGGGACUGAGACACUGCCCGGACCUCCACGGAGGGCUGCAGCAACGAAUAUUCCGCAAUGCGCGAAAGCGUGACGGAGCGACGCCGCGUGUGGGACGAAGCCUUUCGGGGUGUAAACCACUGUCAGGAGGAACCAAGCAAAGGGUGUAAAUAGCGCCCGGCGUUGAGGGAUCCCAGAGGAAGCCACGGCUAACUCCGUG